rnacentral:lncRNA from 1 species
AAACGAGAGACAAAUUAAUUGACUGUUACACAUUUCUGCAAGCAGAGGUUGCCAACGCAGGACUGGCAAUAGCAUCUGCACCGUAUUCUGCUAGUGAGAGCAAGGGAAGGCGUGUGGAUCCCUGUGUCCAUGGACCGACAGUGGGAGGCCUCGCCAUCCAUCCAUAUUUUGACUGAAUCUGCAGGUGUACCCAACAGCUCCAAAGAGACAGCGACCAUCGAGAACGGGCCAUGAUGACGAUGGCGGUUUUGUCCAAAAGAAAAGGGGGAAAUGGGAAAAGAGAGAUCAGACUGUUACCGUGUCUAUGCAGAAAUAAGUAGACAUAAGAGACUCCGUUUUGUUCUGUACCAAGAAAAUUCUUCUGCCUUGAGAUGCUGUUAAUCUGUAACCCUAGCCCCAACCCUGUGCUCACAGAGACAUGUGCUGUGUUGACUCAAGGUUUAAUGGAUUUACCAAAGGGCUAUGCAGGAUGUACUUUGUUAAAAAAAAGUGCUUGAAGGCAGUAUGCUUGUUAAAAGUCAUCACCAUUCUCUAAUCUCAAGUACCCAGGACACAAUACACUGUGGAAGGCCACAGGGACCUCUGCCUGGGAAAGCCAGGUAUUGCCCAAGAUUUCUCCCCAUGUGAUAGCCUGAGAUAUGGCCUCAUGGGAAGGGUAAGACCUGACUGUCCCCCAGCCCGACAUCCCCCAGCCCGACACCCGAAAAGGGUCUGUGCUGAGGAGGAUUAGUAAAAGAGGAAGGCCUCUUUGCAGUUCAGAUAAGAGGAAGUCAUCUGUCUCCUGCUCGUCCCUGGGCAAUAGAAUGUCUCAGUGUAAAACCCAAUUGUAUGUUCUAUUUACUGAGAUAGGAGAAAACCACCUUAGGGCUGGAGGAGAGACAUGCUAGUGGUAAUACUGCUCUUUAAUGCACCGAGAUGUUUGUACACGUGCACAUCAAGGCACAGCACCUUUUCUUAACCUUGUUUACGACACAGAGACUUUU